CAGGACUACUUAUAGACACGAAAUUACAAUCACUGUCAGAGGAAUUUUGACUUUCAAACACUACAGUAUUAAAAACGGCGUCAACUGUAGCAGAAGAAAUUCUUAUUUCAGUAUUUUCCUUAAAAAAGCUAUGAACCCAUUCCAAAACAUCGGGAUGGGAAGCUUCAUAGAAAAAUAGUAAAUAACCAGGAAGAAAUAUAUUAGAACACCAAUCUGAAAGUAGACCAUU